ensembl:misc_RNA 7SK 7SK RNA
GGAUGUGAGGGUGAUCUGGAUGCAACAUCUGUCACCCCAUUGAUCUCCAGGGUUGAUUCGGCUAGGCAGGUGUCCCCUUCCUCCCUCACUGCUCCAUCUGUGUCCCUCCCAAAGCUGCGUGCUCAGAAGAAGAGGACGGCCUUCCCCGAAUAGACUGACCGGUUCCCUGCUAGAACCUCCAAACAAGCUCUCAAGAUGUAAGUUGGAGUCAUAGUAGUAUGAAGACUUUGGGGAGGUGAUUCUAAGGGAACUCAGUCAUAUGAUUGUUAAGUUUUUGUUG